rnacentral:rRNA from 1 species
UACAAUUUUCACCAACGGAUCUUUUGGCUCUCCCAUCGGUAAAAAACCCACCGAAAUGCGAUAAUUAAGGUGAAUUGCMAAAUUCAUUGAAUCCUCGAAUYUUUGAACCCCCCUUGCCCCCCUUGGUAUUCCGAGGAGCAUGCCUGUUUGAGUGUCAUUAAAUUCUCAA